rnacentral:piRNA from 1 species
UCCCAGACCACAUCUCAGGUUGACGUGCCUU